rnacentral:rRNA from 1 species
UACCCGCAGCUCGAGUGCUGCUCACUUUUAUUGAACCCAAUGAGUAUGGAUCCGGAUUUGCUGAUCUUCAGAUAAAUUCCUCUGCUUAAACAUGAUCUUCUGAACACACUGCGACUACUUGCUCACCGGGUGAGGUUGAACGGACUUCCGGAUUAGGGCUAAAAUCCUGUACUCCUGGAAGGACCACCGAUGACGAGAGCGCUCCCUCACAUUCCACCCGAUUGUGAGUAACGAGCCCUAUAGAAUGACAGCGUAUUACAUACGCGGGUAGACCUAGAUGUAUGCACUGCCCACUGGGUGUUGCCCCUCCGAUGAGGGGAGGCAGUGCCGGAGCGAAGGUGUUAAGUGGGCCGCUUGGGGAGUAUGGUCGCAAGUCUGAAACUUAAAGGAAUCGGCGGGGGAGCCCCGCAACGGGAGGAGCGUGCGGUUUAAUUGGAUUCAACGCCAGAAAACUCACCGGGAGCGACCUUUGGAUGAGAGUCAGCCUGAUGAGCUUACUCGAUAGAAGGAGACGUGGUGCAUGGCCGUCGUCAGCUCGUACCGUAGGGCGUUCACUUAAGUGCUGAUAACGAGCGAGAUCCCCAUCUCUAAGUGCUACCGGGCAUUUGCGCGUACGCGCACUUCAGAGGGUCCUCCAGCACUAACCUGGAGGAAGGAGGGGUCGACGGCAGGCCAGUACGCCCCGAAUCUUCCGGGCACCACGCGCGCUACAAAGGGCAGGACAAUGAGUUCCACCUCGAAAGGGGGAGCUAAUCUCGAAACCUGUUCGUAGUUAGGAUUGAGGGCUGUAACUAAACCUCAGGAAUGUCGAUUACGUAGUAAUCGCGGGUCAACAAUUCCGCGGAGAAUAUGCCACUGUCUCUU